rnacentral:rRNA from 1 species
CUCUGUGACUCCUACGGGAGGCAGCAGUCGGGGAAUAUUGCACAAUGGGCGCAAGCCUGAUGCAGCCAUGCCGCGUGUGUGAAGAAGGCCUUCGGGUUGUAAAGCACUUUCAGUUGUGAGGAAGGUGGUGUCGUUAAUAGCGGCAUCAUUUGACGUUAGCAACAGAAGAAGCACCGGCUAACUCCGUGCCAGCAGCCGCGGUAAUACGGAGGGUGCGAGCGUUAAUCGGAAUUACUGGGCGUAAAGCGCAUGCAGGUGGUUUGUUAAGUCAGAUGUGAAAGCCCGGGGCUCAACCUCGGAACUGCAUUUGAAACUGGCAGACUAGAGUACUGUAGAGGGGGUAGAAUUUCAGGUGUAGCGGUGAAAAUGCGUAGAGAUCUGAAGGAAUACCCGGUGGCGAAGGCGGCCCCCUGGACAGAUACUGACACUCAGAUGCGAAAGCGUGGGGAGCAAACAGGAUUAGAUACCCUGGUAG